rnacentral:misc_RNA from 1 species
GUGUGUGUGUGUGUGUGUUAAAAUGAGCAAAGCAAUUGAGAGUCAGUACCAAAGCAGUCAUGAGUAAAAACUCAGGAACAGAAACAAAAAUGAAAAGAGAAUAAAUGGAACUAAGCUUACAUCAAGCAAUGCAAAACAAUUAUUUUAGUAUAGAUCAUAAUAGAUCUAAAACUUACAAGAAAUCAAGCUACACAAAAUCAAUAAACCAUCAUUUCCUUAAUCAUUUCCAUACACUCACAUCGUCUGUGAACAGAUACGUAAUGCGAACACCCUAGACAACGAAACUGACAAAAAUCAACAAAAAAACAAAAUCCCAGCCAAAUUAACCAAAAUCCUUAAACCCUAGCUAGAUUCCCACAAACCCUAGAGCAUAAAUCCCAAAAAUCAGACAAACAGAUCGAGUUUUGAAAGCAUAAUGGGCAAAUAUAACGCAAAUUCAAGACAUAAAAAAAAAAAGUAGGGGGAAAAACCUACACACAAUUUUACGAAGUUUCAUUACGUUUGGAUCAUAAAAGAGAAUAAGAAGAAUGAUUGAAAAUCAUGAAGAAGAAGAUACACAUAGCAGGGAUGAGAAAUGAGAAAGAGGCAAAGAGAAACCCUAGGUUCACCUGAAAGAGACGCAGAGCCACAAAAAAAAUA